GACAGAGGAGCCAAGCGUUGUCCGGAUUGACUGGGCGUAAAGCGCACGCAGGCGGGUGCGCGCGGGGGGGGUGAAAACCUGGCCGCUUAACGGCCAGCGGCCAUCCCAUACGGCGCGCCUGGAGCCUUGCAGAGGGCGGUGGAAUUGCCGGUGUAGUGGUGAAAUGCGUAGAUAUCGCUUGGAACGCCAAAGGUGAAAACAGGUUGCUGGGGUUGUGCCGACGCUGAGACACGAAAGCCAGGGGAGCAAACGGG
rnacentral:rRNA from 1 species